UACGUAGGGGGCAAGCGUUGUCCGGAAUCAUUGGGCGUAAAGCGCGUGUAGGCGGCUCGGUAAGUCCGCUCUGAAAGUCCAGGGCUCAACCCUGGGAUGCGGGUGGAUACUGCCGAGCUCGAGUCCGGAAGAGGCGAGUGGAAUUCCUGGUGUAGCGGUGAAAUGCGCAGAUAUCAGGAAGAACACCCGUGGCUAAGGCGGCUCUCUAGUACGGUACUGACGCUGAGACGCGAAAGCGUGGGGAGCGAACAGG
rnacentral:rRNA from 1 species